GACGAACGCUGGCGGCGUGCUUAACACAUGCAAGUCGAACGGAAAGGCCCCAGCUUGCUGGGGUACUCGAGUGGCGAACGGGUGAGUAACACGUGGGUGAUCUGCCCUGCACUCUGGGAUAAGCCUGGGAAACUGGGUCUAAUACCGGAUAGGACCGUGCUUUAGUGUGUGCGGUGGAAAGUUUUUCGGUGCAGGAUGAGCCCGCGGCCUAUCAGCUUGUUGGUGGGGUAAUGGCCUACCAAGGCGGCGACGGGUAGCCGGCCUGAGAGGGUGUACGGCCACAUUGGGACUGAGACACGGCCCAGACUCCUACGGGAGGCAGCAGUGGGGAAUAUUGCACAAUGGGCGCAAGCCUGAUGCAGCGACGCCGCGUGGGGGAUGACGGCCUUCGGGUUGUAAACCGCUUUCGGCAGGGACGAAGCUUUUGUGACGGUACCUGCAUAAGAAGCACCGGCUAACUACGUG
rnacentral:rRNA from 1 species